UACGGGGGGAGCAAGCGUUGUUCGGAUUUACUGGGCGUAAAGGGCGCGUAGGCGGCCACCGCAAGUCAAUUGUGAAAUCUCCGGGCUUAACUCGGAACUGUCAACUGAUACUGCGGGGCUAGAGUGCGGAAGGGGCAACUGGAAUUCUCGGUGUAGCGGUGAAAUGCGUAGAUAUCGAGAGGAACACCUGCGGCGAAGGCGGGUUGCUGGGCCGACACUGACGCUGAGGCGCGAAGGCUAGGGGAGCGAACGGG
rnacentral:rRNA from 1 species